rnacentral:lncRNA from 10 species
AGAAGCCGGAGGACGGGCGCCAGGGGGCAACUUCCUACAGGAGGGCGUCCCGUUAGAAUGACAGGGCUUUUGCAAAAGUCUGACACCCGUGGCACAGAGCGCCCCAGAUAUGGAGGGUUUCACAGGCUCAUGUGUGGCUUCUUCAGUCCUCUCUUCAUUCACUCAUGUAUUCAUUUAUUCAACGACAUAUUACUAAGGAACCUCCUUAAGCCGGGAUGCUGAACGUGGAAAAAUAGGUGAAAUAUAAUUUUACCCCUGAGAAGCUCAUAGGCUAAAAAAAAUAUUGAUUUGGGAUAAAUGUAUGUUAAGUUGACUCUUGAACAAUGUGGGGGCUUGGGGCACCAACCCCCUGUGCAGUUGAAAAUCGACAUAUAACUUUGACUCGCCAAAAACUUCACUACAAUAGCCUGCUGCCAACCUGAAGUCUUACCAAUAACAUCAACAGUCAAUUAAACAUAUUACCAGGACAGGCAGAAGGAUGCCUUCUUCCACGCAAGCACUGAACCAAACCACAGUAGAAGAAACAGAAUCAAAUGAGAGAGAUUCAACUGACCAGUUUAAGGCUUAUCAGAAAGGAACAAAGACAUACCAAAAUAGACCAUCCUUGCACAAACACAGACACACAGGGACAAGGCACAAGUGCAUCACUUACACCAGCACAGGUGCUAGCAAGAAACCCAUUCAUAUGAACACUUUAUGCGGAUUUUAAAGGGAAAACUCUUCUUUUAAACAUAAAGGACUUUUAUCUUUGUAGUAUCCACAUUUAUUCACUCAUUCAUUUGAUGCAAUUUAUGUGCCAGAUGCUUGGUCAGGACUGAGGAUGUGU